rnacentral:rRNA from 1 species
UACGUAGGGGGCAAGCGUUGUCCGGAAUCAUUGGGCGUAAAGAGCGUGUAGGCGGCCAGAAAAGUCCGCUGUGAAAACUCGAGGCUCAACUUCGAGCUGUCGGUGGAAACUUUCUGGCUAGAGUCCGGAAGAGGAGAAUGGAAUUCCUGGUGUAGCGGUGAAAUGCGCAGAUAUCAGGAAGAACACCAAUAGCGAAGGCAGCUCGCUGGGACGGUACUGACACUGAGGCGCGAAAGCGUGGGGAGCGAACAGG